rnacentral:lncRNA from 1 species
CGGAGUACAGGAGCCAAGCAAUUGUAUGGGUGAUGCCAGGCAAUUGAAGUAUCAGCUACACAAGUGGUGGCUUUUCAUCCCACCUUGCCCUUACCCCCUUCCCCGGGAAAAACUGAGUUCAAGCGCUGCCCCCCUUGAGGAACAGGAAACCACUAAUCCCCUGCUUGCUAGUUGCCAAGCAACCCAGGAUGAGCCUUCGAGGUCAUUUCUCAGACAGCUCUGCGCCUCCCCACAGCCUGUGAACAGAUGGCCCCUGCAAGCAGCCAGUCCCAGUCCUAAGCAAUUGCUAUGCUCCUGCAGCCUGUCCCCUGAGAGACAAAAUUGGAGACAAUGUCUCAGCCUCACUGAGGUGUUUCCUUCUAGUUGCCGGAAGAUACAAAGAUGCAGAUAGCUCCGGACCUGUUUGUCCUGUUUUCCUAUGUUUUGCUUUUUAUUUUCUUAGUUUUAUGUUUUUUGAGAAAGGGUCUCACUCCAUAUCCCCUGGCUGGCCUUGCAUUCACUGUGUGUGACACCCCUCCCCCUCCCACACACCCGCAAGUAUCAUGGCCAGCAGCAAAACAAUCGGAGGAAAGGCGAGAAUGAAUCUCAGUUCAGCUCAGACUUCUGGAGUCUGACACCAGGUGCUUUAAUUUAGCU